AAGUGCAAAGGAGAUGGAAAUACCACUGGUUGGUCUAGCCCAUCAGUUUUCUCUGAAGGAGAAGAUGAUGCUGACAGUGUACUCAGAAAGGCUUCGCUUAAUGCCAGGAACUAUGGGCAGCAGAAGACUUCCUUAGGUGAAGGUUAUGAUGCCCGUGAACUAUACUCUGCUCAAUCAAAUAUUAGCAAAUUCGAUGGCCAGAGUUGUUCACACAAGUUGCAAGAGAGCCGCGACUUACCUGCGACUAAAGCAACAAGGUCAUUCUUCUCUCUUUCAGCAUUUAGGGGCAGCAAACCAAAUGAGAUGAAGUUUCGCUAAUGCUAGAGAGCUGGAGUCAGAUAUAGCAAAAUUUUCUACUCCUCCUUCACUGUGGUUGUAGCAUGUAUUCAUUCUUCCACAUGCAGAGACGAGGGGUCAUCCCAAUUCUUCUGGCAUUUAUUGUUUCUUUCCUCAUUGUAAUAUUUUGUUGAUGGGUCUUUUCUUCUGUACAUUCAAUAUGCCCUGUUCUGCUCAGAGAUUUAAGCACACCCGUGUGAAGUUGUUAACCACUAUGCUUAGGACGCGAGGCAAUUUCAGGUUGGUAUAUGUGUAGUCAAUUUCAUUUAUUCUAGGAACAAAGUUGCUUCAUAAUAUUAUAUCCAAUUUUAAAUCUGUAAAACUUUGCGCGUAUUUUGCAUCAAUGUGAAUGCUUUGUGACAGAGAGGA